AAGUCGUAACAAGGUUUCCGUAGGUGAACCUGCGGAAGGAUCAUUAUUGAAAUAAACCUGAUGGGUUGUUGCUGGUUCUCUAGAGAGCAUGUGCACGCCUUGUCAUCUUUAUAUCUCCACCUGUGCACCUUUUGUAGACCUUUCAGGUCUAUGUCGCUUCAUUUACCCCAAUGUAUGUUAAUAGAAUGUUGUGCCUAUAAAAUAUAUACAACUUUCAGCAACGGAUCUCUUGGCUCUC
rnacentral:misc_RNA from 1 species